rnacentral:rRNA from 1 species
CAAUAGCGUAUAUUUAAGUUGUUGCAGUUAAAAAGCUCGUAGUUGGAUUUCUGCUGAUCGCUGUCGGUCUGCCGUCAGGUGUGUACUGGCAGUGUUUGGCAUCUAUUCGAGAUUGGGUGUCCACUUGAUUGUGUGCACUCGAUGUCGGAGCUAAUACUUUGAGAAAAUUAGAGUGUUCCACGCAGGCGCGUGCCUUGAAUACUGCAGCAUGGGAUAUUGGAAGGCCGAUUGAGCUUUCUUGUUGGUUCUCGGUUUGAUCGGAAUGAUUAAUAGGGAUAGUUGGGGGCAUUCGUAUUCAACUGUCAGAGGUGAAAUUCUUGGAUUUGUUGAAGACGGACUACUGCGAAGGCAUCUGCCAUGGAUGUUCUCAUUGA